rnacentral:tRNA from 1 species
GGGAAUGUGGCUUAGUGGUAGAGUGCUUGCCUAGUGUGCAUGAUGCCCUGGGUUCAAUUCCUCAGUGCCA